rnacentral:rRNA from 1 species
AGUCACUGACAUUAGAUACCCCUGUAGUCCAGGGUGUAAACGCUGCAGACUUGGUGUUGGGGGCCCUUUGGGGGCAUUCAGUGCCGGAGAGAAGUUGUUAAGUCUGCUACUUGGGGAGUACGUCCGCAAGGAUGAAACUUAAAGGAAUUGGCGGGGGAGCACCGCAACGGGAGGAGCGUGCGGUUUAAUUGGAUUCAACACCGUAAACUCACCAGGGAAGACUGUUACAUGAAGGCCGAGAUGAAGACUCUGCUAGAUUUUCAG